CCGCGCCGCUCGCCGCGCUCAGGCCGCCGCCGGAACCCCCGCCGACGCUGCCCGCGGGCGUCCCCGAGGCCCCCGGUGCCCCAUCCCCCGCCACCCCAGCGCCGGCCCCACUCACCCUUUCAUUCUCCGCCCGCGGCCUGGCGUGGGCCGGCGAAUCCCCGGCCUCACGUAAGCGCGCUCGCCGCCCGCCCUGCCUACGCGGCCCAGCCCGCCGCCCUACGGGAGCCCGGGGAUGUGGGCCGGGCCUGGGGCCGCCUCUGCUUACCUUUCAGCUGCUUUUUUUUUUUUUUUUUUUUUUAAUUUUUUUUUCCUCCUUCCUCCCCCUCAACCCCCCCUCCCUCGCCUAGGCUGACAGAUCAGAGAGGCGCUGGCAGUGGACUUAGGGAGCUCGGCUGCUACUGCUCCCUCCCUGGGCUUCGGCAAGAGUCUUUCCCUGUCUAACACGAGGGGUGAGGAUCAUAUUUUUAUUUUGGAAACUAAAAAGUGCUCCCAGGGUCGGUGAUCAUUAAGGGGAAAUCCCUGAAUAUACUCUCCAGCCAAGAAGGCAGGGCUGCCCGCCUGCACUAGAAGAGGCAGCAGCCUCCUACAGCACCACUACAGGCACCGCGAGGACAUAACACCACAGAGCAGUUCCUCUGCCCUCCGAAACGACAACUUUCCUACCAUCUUGGAGGCAGAGGAGAGAGGGGCCAAGGGGAGAAGUGCACCGGCUCCAGCCAGAUAAAGUCCAAAUUUCUACCUCUCAUCGCUGGAAAAAAGCCCAUACUUGAGAAAAAGCAGGGAAGAAACAGAAAGGAGGUCGUGUGCUCCGUGGUGGGGAAUGUUUCUGCACCUUCUGAUGGAAAGAAAUCUUUACAAGACACAGGUUUUACGAUAUUAUUGUUUUCCAUGUUAACUUUUUCCAUAAGGGUGACAGUGGCAGCUUACUUUUUUUUUUCUAUUUUUUUUUCUUUUUUUCAGGCUAAUAAUGAUUUUUCUCUAUGGCAGGUCCAAGUUCUGUAUCUGGUGGCCAGUCUGUAAAUUGGCACUUGAGAGACUUAGAGGUCACGGUAUUGUCUUUAUUUAAUGCUCGUUUAUGUUGUAUGUAUUCGUACUUAUGGUUUCAUGUAUUAGAGGUAAGAUUUUGUGGUUUUGGUAUCUGAGGAACUGAGGCUGCUGAGAGUCAAUUGUAAAGAGAUGGCUUUUGUCUUCUCUCAGAGCAAUGUAAGUAAAACCUAUUGACUGCCCAGAAAGGCA
rnacentral:lncRNA from 1 species